UAUGUGAUCGUCUCUCGCAUAUCAAUAAGCGGAGGAAAAGAAAAUAACAAUGAUUUCCCUAGUAACGGCGAGUGAAGAGGAAAGAGCUCAAAGUUGGAAACUGUUUGGCUUAGCUAAACCGUAUUGUAAACUGUAGAAACAUUUUCCUGGCACGCCGGAUUAAUAAGUCCUUUGGAACAAGGCAUCAUGGAGGGUGAGAAUCCUGUCUUUGAUCCGAGUAGUUGUCUUUUGUGAUAUGUUUUCAAAGAGUCAGGUUGUUUGGGAAUGCAGCCUAAAUUGGGUGGUAAAUCUCACCUAAAGCUAAAUAUUGGCGAGAGACCGAUAGCGAACAAGUACCGUGAGGGAAAGAUGAAAAGAACUUUGAAAAGAGAGUUAAACAGUACGUGAAAUUGUCAAAAGGGAAGCGUAUGACACCAGUGUUGUUUUUCUGAAAAUCAAUUAAAGAACUGUUUAUGCUAAGUUGUUUAGACUUUAUCAGCUAACUGUUUAGUUUUGAGCUUUUCUUUAAUGCACUUUUCAGUUAACAAGUCAACAUCAAUUUCUUUUGCUGUAAAAAAGCUUGAGGAAGGUGGCUUGAGAUUCGUCUUAAGUGUUUAUAGCCUCUUGCCUAUGCAGUCGGAGAGAUUGAGGUCUGCAGCGUAGAUCCUUCGGGGCUAAAUGCAUUUGUGCUAAGUUAUAGCAUUUUAUAGACAACUUGUUGACUAUGAUUUGUCUUGUAGCUUACUCGCUUAUGUUAUUUUACCUACGCUUAGGAUGUUGAAGUCAUCGUAUCGCGC
rnacentral:rRNA from 1 species